UAUGCUUCAGACUCUGUGUCCCUCAUUGA
rnacentral:piRNA from 1 species